UUCCUUGUGCUUUUAAGGCUUACUUCUGCUCUCUAAGCAUUGUGAAGCACGGGCAGUUUUCUUGAUCUGUAUUUUGGUAGCAUUCAACAUGUUGGAACUUUGCCGGAGUGGAUCCACUAAAUGGGCAAACUUUACCCUUAAGGGGAGGUGGGGUGGAAUCACUGAUACCAGGUGAAGUGCAUUAUAUAUUUGUUCUACAAGUAGCAGCUGUUCAGUACGGUGCUGGUAGAGCCUUUGUGGAAGAGAGUGCUAUGUGAAUACAAAACCAAGCUUAAGAAUCUGCAGAAACAAAUGUGAAAAGCUCAUACAGACACUGAAAUCCUGUCCCUGUCAAGACACAAAAUGACCUCAGCAAAGAAGAAGCCAAAACAAUUUCUUGACUUUGGGAGAAGAAUGAUUCAGCCCCGAUCUCUCUUCCACCCACAGCCUCCUUCUGGGGCUGUGACUUUGUCUUAUGCUUCAUCAGGAAACACAUUUUUGGCUGAGUUUGACCUCUAGAGUGUGUUGGAUCUUACAGGUAUACUGUCAGAUAGAGUUUGUAUUGGACAUGAAGUACUUCAUUUGAGUAUGUCUAAGUGCUAAGGUUUCAUAUGAAAUUUAUCUCAUGGUUUUCAAUACAUGACUAGUUAUUUAUGUUUUGUUAUUACAGAGUUUCAAGUAAUAUAAAAGUUAAAGGUAAGAAAUACUUUCUGUGCUGUUUAAGAAAGGUAUGGGACCAAGUUUACUUCAGCAGAGAACUGAGUAAAUUGUUGAGAAGCAUGAUAAAAUAGGAUUGUAGAGUCUUCUGGAAUUCUGUGUGGGAGGAUGAAUAGAGUAUGGAAAUAUGUUCCAUUAAUUUCUAAGGGAUAUUCUCUGUGUAUUGAUGAAGGGGCCUGAAUUCUAAUCAGUGCCAUGAAUGAUAUAGUUGAAGAUCAUUAAAUGAAGUAGCUGUAUUAGAUGUUCUGUCCAAUCAUGUUUUAGAACGAAAAUCACAGUGUCAGACCAACCAUGCAUUUAAUGAAGUACCAACAGUCGCUGUUUCUGAAAAAGUCAGGUAUAAACCCUCUGAAUUCUGGAAACUGGCAGCUUAAGAAUAUCUUGUGCUGGGUUAUGAUGUUUAGGUGUAUUUAUCUUCCAUGAACUGAUCAAAUCCCUUUCAUAAGACAUUCUCAUUUUUGACUUCCACAUAUCCUAUGGUAACAAAUUCUUCUGUCUUAUGUCAUUUUACAUGGUACUUCUCCUUUAUUCUUUUACUGUAAAAAAUAAUGACUGGUCAUUCCCCCUAUUCCUUCAAGUUAUCUCUUUUCAACUAAAAUGUUAUUUUGUUUUGUUUCCUACUGUGUUGAAGCUGUUUCUUAUCUGUCAUCUCUUUCUAGUAAAGAUUUCAAUCAAAUGACCUAGAAUUAAAAAGUACCAACCAAUCUGUGUGUAAUACGCUCUGCUUCCAACUCACUGGCAGAAAAAGAAUGAGGAAGAAAUAUGAUCUUAAAAUAUUCAAGACUAGGUAGAAUUCAGGAUCUGAAUCUGUGUGCCACUCCAUACUGUUUCCUGUAGUGGAUAUAAUGUACUUUCAAGGCUUAGAACAGAUGUUAAAGUCAAAAUGUAAUUAAAAAUGGAGAUUAUAAAAAAAAAAAGUGAUAACAUAUGAGAUGUGCUUGCCAAAGUUAGAUCGUGAAUACCUGGGCAAACAGGUAUUUAAAACAAUAGGUUGCCUACAGAAAGUGUAUGUGUACUAGAUGUUUUGCAGCAAAACUUUUGCUAAAGAGCAACAGGGAAGUCCUGAUGUUAGCUGUAGGAGGCUGGGAUUUGUAUGGACACUGAGGGUAAGAACUACGUGAAGAAGAGAGUGGGUUUUGUUGAGAGG